GGCAGGUCAGUGCACAUAUUUCUUUUCAUAUUCUCAUGCCUUGGGUUGGUUUGAAUAGAGUCUACAAUUAUACACUUGACCCAUGUGGUCCUAUUUACAUAACAGUUGGAGAUGGCGGAAACAUAGAAACAACUGAUGUUGAUCAUGCAGAUGACAAAUGUCCACACAGAAUACUUACCAGAAAUUGUAGUGGCAUGUAGUGCUGGCAACUCAGGUCCAACUCCUUCAACUGUCACUAAUGUGGCUCCAUGGAUCAUCACUGUUGCUGCAAGUAGCAUUGAUAGAGUUUUUCCUUCACCCCUUGUGCUAGGAAAUCAAAUGAAAAUUCAGAUUACUGACAGGUGCGAUUCUUGCUCAUGAGUUAAUGUGUGGGUGGUUACGCCUUAAAGUCAUAUUCUAGGUAAUUGUUGCUUCUGGAGCUGUGAAGCAUGAGGACUUUGUUGAGCAAGUGAAGAAGUUGUUUACCAAAUUGUCAUCGGAUCCAACCACAACUUCUGAAUUAGUUGCCAAAGGGCCAGCAAUUUUUUCAGGAUUUUUUGUGUUAAAAUCCUUUGAUUUUUUAUUUCUCUUAUUUUUUCUUUUUUUCCUUGGAUCUGACAGUGGGUGUUUUGGUUCACUUCUUAUUUUUUGUAUUAAAUGGGGGAGUGGUGAGAGAGAGAGGAGGGUAAUGUUAUUUUGUGGCUUUGUAUAUAAGGUAGUAAUUUUUUGAUUGAGAAUUGUGAAUUCAAUUUUUGGAUA